UACGUAGGGGGCAAGCGUUGUCCGGAAUCAUUGGGCGUAAAGGGCGCGUAGGCGGCGUGACAAGUCACUUGUGAAAUCUCCGGGCUCAACUCGGAACGGUCAAGUGAUACUGUCGUGCUAGAGUGCGGAAGGGGCAACUGGAAUUCUUGGUGUAGCGGUGAAAUGCGUAGAUAUCAAGAGGAACACCUGCGGCGAAGGCGGGUUGCUGGGCCGAACACUGGACGCUGGAGGCGCGAAAGCUAGGGGAGCGAACGGG
rnacentral:rRNA from 1 species